rnacentral:rRNA from 1 species
AUACCAGCCCCGCGAGUGGUCGGGACGUUUACGGGGCCUAAAGCGUCCGUAGCCGGCCCGACAAGUCUCCGCCUAAAGCCUCGGGCUCAACCCGAGGAGUGGCGGAGAUACUGUCGGGCUAGGGGGCGGGAGAGGCCGAGGGUACUCCCGGGGUAGGGGCGAAAUCCUGUAAUCCCGGGAGGACCACCAGUGGCGAAGACGCUCGGCUGGAACGCGCCCGACGGUGAGGGACGAAAGCCGGGGGAGUGAACCGGAUUAGAAACCCCGGUAGUCC